GUCCCGCAUCCUUUUGGGACAAAGUAACCUAGCUCCCAAAUUAGCCCCAAAUCUCCUCUAAUGUCUCCUGAGUCACCAUAGGGAUUCCUCUCCCAACACCUCACGCGCUCGCUCGCCGUCGGCUCCUCACACGCUCGCUCGCCGUCGGCUCCUCACACCUUCGCUCACCGUCGGCUACCCACGCCCUCGCUUGCCGUUGGCUACUCACGCACUCGCUCGCCGGCAAAUAUACCCACGCGCUCGCUCGCCAGCAAAUGUUCACGCGCUCUCCAACGCUAUAGAAGGGCGAACUACUCCGACGCUUCACGAGCCGCUAUCAUAUACAUUUGACUGUGGUACAUUUGGUGUGAAACUGUGUAGUCGCUCGGCAUUGCGUGGAUUGGUGUGGAUUAUUAUUGCCUCUGCCACUAAAAUCCUCUGUGCCGCCGCCGCCAAAGCUUAGGUGAAAGAUGCAAUCAUCAAGGUUACAAAGAGGAAACAUGGUCACUUCCAGAUAUGAAAAGCAACUCUUCAUAGCACCAGGUGCAUUGGGGAAGGGUCGUGGAAAAGGAUUACGACCUUCUCUUAGAUCAUCAUCACGAGAUGCUUUAAUUGGUGCUAUCAACAAUAGUACAUCACCAAAUGAUACUCCAACAGAACCACCAAAUGAUGCCUCUCUGCCGCAUGAAUUCGAGUCUGUAGAAGAUAUCCAAAGUGCCGAACAAACUAUAG